GCUGUCAGUCGUAUUGUUGACUAGGGGCCGGAGUGACACUGGCCCCCCGAAGCGUCCACCUGAUAUAGCAGUGAAAGAUCACAGACAUGGACUUUCAGCCUGGUCCAAACUUGAGAAAACUGUCUAAGCUGAAAAGAUCAGCAUGUACAAUUUCCAAAGCAACAGCGAUUCACCACAGCCAGACUCCCAGGAGGCCGCGGGUGUCUGGACAUGAUGUCACACCUCUAACAUCUUCUAGCCUCUGCUACCUGAAAGUGACAGCUCUUCGCUUCUUCACGGUGAAGAGAAAGCAGGUGUGGAACGGAUCAGCACUCAGUACUGUAUAGAGAGGAGGUGCUGCAGGUACAAGUGGAGCCGCGGUUUCACCUAAAAGCAGAAAGAGCGUCCCAGAGGUCCCUCGACAUCCCCCGCAUGUCUUUUCUCUCUUCCCUCCUUCUUUCUCUCGCCUCAGUGAAGCCGUCCGAUCGCGUUAGCCUCAUCUCAGUGCUAAAACACUCUCUCUGCGCCCCCUCUGUCCUCUGUGCUGUUGCCGGCCUCAUUUCCACCAAACAGAAACACUUUGAAAAUCUCUCUGAACAGGAAAAAUCGUGGGCCUCACUUCCUGCACUGGGUUUGUGUUUGAUAACGCUCAAGACAACAUAAUGCCAAUAAUGACACAAAAUGACUCCAGUGAUUCUGUAAUUAGCUUGUGGAUCUGUUCACAUUACGGUCAUGUUCUGGUCUUUAAAGCUAGUCAGCGUUUUUCAGGGUGUUACCAAAUGCAGAGCUGAUUAAUCAGUAGAGAUCAUCUCCAACAGCCACGUCAUGGUUACAAGACUACAUAAAUCACAGAUACCUGGACAGGAAAGCAGAAAUCUGAUUUUCUGUGUAUAUUCGUAUCAAAAACUUAUGGCACAAAACUGAUGUAAUCAG